rnacentral:rRNA from 1 species
GCCUAAUACAUGCAAGUCGAACGGGAUUGAGAGCUUGCUUUCAUGAGAGUGGCGUACGGGUGCGUAACGCGUAUGCAACCUACCUUCAUCAGGGGGAUAGCCCGAAGAAAUUCGGAUUAACACCGCAUAAAAACACAGCUUGGCAUCAAGCAAUGUUCAAAUAUUUAUAGGAUGAAGAUGGGCAUGCGUGUCAUUAGCUAGUUGGUAAGGUAACGGCUUACCAAGGCUACGAUGACUAGGGGAUCUGAGAGGAUGACCCCCCACACUGGUACUGAGACACGGACCAGACUCCUACGGGAGGCAGCAGUAAGGAAUAUUGGUCAAUGGAGGCAACUCUGAACCAGCCAUGCCGCGUGCAGGAAGACUGCCUUAUGGGUUGUAAACUGCUUUUAUACGGGAAUAAACCUUAAUUCGUGAAUUAAGCUGAAUGUACCGUAAGAAUGAGGAUCGGCUAACUCCGUGCCAGCAGCCGCGGUAAUACGGAGGAUCCAAGCGUUAUCCGGAUUUAUUGGGUUUAAAGGGAGCGUAGGCGGCUUGUUAAGUCAGGGGUGAAAGACGGUGGCUCAACCAUCGCAGUGCCUUUGAUACUGACGAGCUUGAAUAUAGUUGAGGUAGGCGGAAUGUGACAAGUAGCGGUGAAAUGCAUAGAUAUGUCACAGAACACCGAUUGCGAAGGCAGCUUACUAAGCUAUUAUUGACGCUGAGGCUCGAAAGCGUGGGGAUCAAACAGGAUUAGAUACCCUGGUAGUCCACACUGUAAACGAUGAUAACUAACUGUUGGCUUUCGGGUCAGUGGUACAGAGAAAUCGUUAAGUUAUCCACCUGGGGAGUACGCCGGCAACGGUGAAACUCAAAGGAAUUGACGGGGUCCGCACAAGCGG